CGCCUUUGGCAUAACAUCAAAGGUCCUGCCUGCCCAGUGAUAUAAAAAUUAAACGGCUGCGGUACUCUGACCGUGCAAAGGUAGCAUAAUCAUUAGCCUGUUAAUUUCAGGCUGGAAUCAACGGCAAGACGAAGAAAAAGCUGUCUCUUUCUAUUAUUUUAGAAUUUUUCCUUUUGGUGAAGAGACCAAAAUGUUUAAGUGGGACGAGAAGACCCUAUUGAGUUUUAGUAAUUCCCCAAAAAUCUUUUUUGGGAAAUUACUUUGGUUGGGGCAACUGUUAAUAAAAUUAAACAUUGAUAAAACAGAAAUGAAUUAAAUCUAAAUUAAAUCCAAAAUUUUAUUUUGAAAUUAAAAAAAAUUACCUUAGGGAUAACAGCGUAAUUCUUUUUGAGAGUACAUAUUGACAAAAGAGUUUGCGACCUCGAUGUUGGAUCAAGUUUUCCUGAAGGUGCAGUAGCUUUCAAUGGUUGGUUUGUUCAACCAUAAAAAUCUU
rnacentral:rRNA from 1 species